UCAGGCAGUUGUACCAUAUGAAACUGACAGCAAUUGUUCUGAUUCAUGGUUUAGGAGGAGUAGCUGAUUAAUCCCAUGUCAGCAGUCUUGACCCUAUGUGGAAAAUAGAACCAGAGAAGGCCUACUCAACAAUAUAUCAAGGGACAAAGUUCUUUUAUUUGUCUUGCUCUUAAGUAUAAUCUUCAAUACGGACAAGACUGUCUUUUAAAGAAAACAUCUUUUAUGAUGGACCACCAUGCUGAGUUUUGAUAAAAAUUAAAAGGACUUUCAAAAUUAUCUUCUUGGUCUUCCCCUCCCGAACCUUACCUUUUUCAGGGAAGGAAGGGAGAGACACCAUUAAAAAAAUCUUGAUAAUCAAGGACGCCUGUGAUCCUAGGCAGCUUUCUGGAGCACAAAGACACUCAGCAAAGCUGUUCUCCCACCUAAAGUAAAAUGUCUCUGAUUCAUAAGACAUUCCAG
rnacentral:lncRNA from 1 species